AUCAAAUGACCACCGCACGGAGCAGGUUUUAUUAAAACGGCUGACCGUACCUGAUCCGGCGAGUCCUAAAAAUUAU
rfam:Peptococcaceae bacterium BRH_c4a BRHa_1005148, whole genome shotgun sequence.